UUGAUAGUUCUAAUAAACAGGCUAAAUUACAAAAUAAUAAAUUAAUUUUUAUCUUGUACCUUAUUUUCAUCUCAACACUAUAACAGAAUUAGGUUAUACGGACACAUGUUUGGAACACUUUUGAGUAAGUAUCCUAUUUAUGCUAAAACUUAAAAAAAUAUCUACUUAUGCCUAAAUAUAAAGCCCAAUCCAACCAAAAAUAAAAGAUUACUCUACUCAACCCACCACACCCAGUCCAUUUGAUCCGAUUACAAACAGAAAAGAAAAAAAAAAGAAAAAUCAAUUACCAUCUUUUCUUCUCUCUUCACUCAAUCCACUGAAAUUCUAGACGGAGAGCCUUUCCUGUCGUCCUCCUCCGUCACCAUAGCCAAUGAGAUAGAAUUUCGGCGGUUGCUAAAUGCUUAAAUAAGUGUUGGUAAUUAGCAGCACUCUUUUAGGCUAUAGCGACACUCUUUAACUGUCACUAUAUAUCUAGCGACCCCACAUAUAGCAAUACUUUUUAAAAGUGUCGGUAAUUUUAGCUAGCAGCACUUUUUUGACAUGUACCUACAUUUAAAAGUGUCGGUAUAGACCGUUUUUGUUGUAGUGCAAAGAGAUCCAAUUUUAAAAUAAUUGUUUAAUUCUGCUUUAAAAUGUUAUAGUUUUAGUAAAAUUAUAUUUACCUCUAUCAACUUAUUUUGGUAAAAUUUUACAAUCAAAUAAACCGCUUCGUUCAUUUUAUUUAGAAAUAAAAUUAGCUAAAAAUGUGAAUCAACUAAAUUCGAACUUGGAACCUCGGGUACCAACCACCGAGCCCUUUUCCACUUGCGCUAGGGACGGUCGGUAGUGCAGGUGAAAGUUAAUGUAGUUUUUUAUACAAGAAAGUAUAAUUGAGAUACGAACUUAAUUAAGUGCCCAAAAGAUUUCGUAAUCUAGGGUAAUAAAUAAUUAAGUUAAUGAGGAUUAGUUAGGAUAAGGUGAUUUGAACAAGUUCAUUUACUCAACUUCUUAAUGAGGAUUAGUUGGGAGAAGGUAUUUUAAUGAGAGGGUUAGUUAGGAUAAGGUGAUUUGAACAAGUUCUUUUAUUACCGUCCCUAUAGCAAGUGACAAAGGGCUUGGUGGUUGGUACCCGAGAUCCAGGUUCGAAUCCUAGUUGAUUCACAUUUCCAGCUAAGUUUAUUUCUAAGUGAAAUAAACGAAGCGGGUAGCGUGCUACCUAUCUCUCUCAAAAAAAAAAAAAAAAAGUUUUUUUACUUUUUUUUUUUUUUUAUUAAAAUGCACCAUCGUAGUGCAAUAGAAUUUUAAUUUAUUGGAUGUGUUCUAUAAUAUUCAAAAGACAUACAUAUCUCAAAUCAUAAGUUUUAGUUAUCAUUAAUUUCUUCUGGAUUGAACAAUAACAUUGAAUAUAAACUAUAAAAAAUAUCAUUCUUUCGUAGCUUAACUUUUAGACACAAACAAUUGUUUCACAUGAUAUCAUAGCAAAACGUCCUUCGUUUGGUUCGGGGUUAAGAAAAAAUUAGCUAUUCCAGGGAUAGAGUUAAGUUCAAGGUUAAAGUGGGGUUAAAGUUUUUUUGUGUUUGGUUGGGGGUUGGAGUUAGUCUAGAAUAAUGAAAAAUAGUGUUUGGUUGGAUAGGUGGGAUAAGAAGAUAAUGAUUGAUAAAGAAGGAUAAUGAUUGGUUGGAGUAUGUGGGAUAAGAAAAGAUAGUGGGUUAUUAUGAAUAGAAAAUAGUGUUUGGUUAGAGUUUGGUGGGGUUAGGUGGGGUUAACUAACCCGAAAUAAUUUAUUUGAGGUGGGGUUAGCUAACCCCACCCAUUUUUUGGAGUGUUUGAAAAUAAUAUGGGGGUUAAGGGUAUUCCACCCCUUAACCCCCAACCAAACAAGGGCUAAGAGUUCAAUUCCAAAUUUAGUGCCUCUUAUUUAAUUCAAGUAUAUAUCUUCGUUUGUUUUAUCCAAAAUUUUCACACUAGCACAUAAGAGGAUGAAAAAAGUACCGUCAGCUAUUAAUCUUUUUUAUCUUUUUUUUUUUUUUCCAUCUCUUUCUUUUCCAUAAUUGACUUGAAAAAGUUAUAACUUUGGUUGCAUUCUUAAAAAGGAGAUUGUUAUCAAAUAAGAUAGAUCUCUACUUAGAUGCUUUAGGCAAAAUUUUCUCAAAUAAGAUAAAUAGUUAUUAUCUAAUAAUUAGUAGCAUUCCAUAAGAAAGGAGAUUGUUUCACUCAAGGUGGGGAGGAAGAAAGGAGAUUGUUCCACCGAAGGUGGAGAGAAGUAACGUGAAGUGAUUUUCGACUGUAUAUGCCCAUUUUCUUUAUUUGGUUCAUCAAAAUUAAAUAAGACCGUAAUUCAAUUUUUUCGUAACGUUGUAUUUGAUUUAGCAUUGGUUGGUAAUGAUGAAGUCAAUCGCAGAAGAAAAAGAGAUAGAAAAAAUAAUAAAAUUUGAACAAUUGUUUCCAUAAUGUUGUAUUUCAUUUAGCAUUGUUUGGUAAUGGUGAAGUCAAUUACGGAAGGAAAUUAAAGAGAGAAAAAUAAAAUAAAAUUUGACGAUUGUAACACACACACACUUUUUGGGAAACAAACACAGAAAGUGAAAAGCAUCAGUUUUGAGGCCAUUAAACGAACGGCGGUUAGAAAAAUAGUUUUCACUUGAACUUUAUUUCAAUUAAAAAUUAUUUUCAACCUGAAAAAUAGUUACACGCACAAAUUAACAAGCAGACCCUUGGUGGAGUUGAGCUUGAGCUAGGUUUGUUGAGCAUCUCACUAACUUAGGGCCUCCAUGGUACUGAGGGUUGUCUAAUGUUAUUAGAUAAAGAUAUGCUCCUCUGUAUUAAGUGGACUACAUAAAUUAUAUAUUGUAACGGAAUCAUUAGAUUUUACGUCGUGAUGUCUUUUACACAAAUAAUGGUAUAUUUUUUUCAUCGCACUUUCUGCCUGUACGUAAUGCAUCGUUCCCUCAAUUCCAAAUAGAAACUAAGAUAGUUAAUGAUCCAAGAUAUAAUGUUUGUUUUUUUUUACUCUUUAUGUUGGAGUGCAAAUAAUUUUUCUCACAAUAAUAAUUGUAAUAGGCUGGAGGACCCUCAUGGACUGUGCUACUGGGGAGAAGGGAUAGCACCACUGCAAACAUCACUGCAGCCAACAAUCUCCCUAGCCCCUUUGAUAACCUGACCACUCUUGAACAGAAGUUCGCCGCCGUCGGCCUCAACGACACCGAUCUCGUCACGUUAUCAGGUAUCUGCAUAAUCAUCAAAUAUCAACACUUUCUCAACUCGAAAUGCAAGAGUCAAAUGUUCUAAAACACACACAAAAAACUGGAACAAAAUAUGGUUUGUUUAGCUCCCAACAAAUUAAGCCCUAAAAAUAUGCUUGCUAUAGAGCUCUCUAAAAACAUAUACUAUUAUACUACCCGAAAAGUCAUGGGAGUUGAAUCCGGCAUGCAAGGUUUGAACUUGAGUGACAAACCAACUGGUUUAUACAGUGGCUAUUAAUGUAUGUCUUUUUGUAGCUGGUUAAUGUUCUCUUAUAUAUUCACUUUUGUCAAUAACAGGAGCUCACACAUUCGGCCGAGGCCAAUGCCAGUUCGUCACUCCACGGCUCUAUAAUUUCAGCAGCACCGUGAAUACAGACCCGACCCUGAACUCAACCUAUGCGACCACAUUGGAGCAAAACUGCCCCCAGGGCGGGAACGCAUCGGUCCUGAAUAAUCUCGACCCGAUCACGCCGAACACGUUCGACAGCAACUACUACAUAAAUCUGCAGAACCACCAAGGGCUCUUCACAUCUGAUCAGGAGCUCCUGUCGGAUCCCAAUGCGACGACGACCGCCUCGAUCGUCAAUAAUUUCGCUGGCAACCAGAGCGCAUUCUUCGAUAGCUUCGUGCAGUCGAUGAUCAACAUGGGGAAUAUUAGCCCCUUGACAGGGAGCAGUGGGGAGAUCAGAACCAACUGCAGUGUGGUGAAUAGCGGAUCCGGUUUGGAGUUGCAUAUUCGGAUUCAACAUGAUUCUGACAAGGGUUCAGCUGCAGAAUAAAAUAUUAAAAAAUAGGGUAAAUUGCAAAUUUGGUGUGGUGGGUGACAUUUUGAUCCUCAAACUUUAAUUUAUUGUCAUUUCUUGCUCAAACUUUUGGAAUUGGUGCAAUUAAGUUCUAUAACCCAAAUUAGUUGACUAAAUAUUGAUAUAUUACUAAAAUAGAAGUAAUGUAAUAGUGAUGUGAUUGAUAAUACACAAAUAUUUAAAAUGCCAUAUUACUUUUACAUCAGCGAUCAAUGCGUCAAUAUUUAGUUAAUUAAAUUAGGUUUUGGAACUUAAUUAUAACAAUUCUGAAAGUACAAGCUAGAAAUUACAACAAAUUAAAGUUUGAGCACUAAAUGUCAUCGGUCUCAUAGUUUGAAGAACAAGCAUGCAAUUUACCGCAAUAAUAUAUAAUGUAUCUGAACUUAAAUCUAAAUAGCUUUUUGUGAUCACAAUAAUAUGAUCAGAGAUAUACUCUCUCUCUCUCUCUCUCUCUCUCUCUCCUCUUUCUGGCUCUCUUUCUCAUCUUACUUUUUCCUCAUCCACAAUGGUACUCAUAACAGUGCUAGAAAAAAGUCUAAAAUGUGGAAGUCACAUAGAUGAUAUGGUACUGUUUUCAACCAAUCACAAUUGAACCCUAGAGUUCACCCAUUUUAUCACACGGUAUUAGAAAAAUAGUUUUGGUGUUCUUUUUUUCAAAAAGAGAAAAUUUGAUUGGUUGGGAUAUGGGUGACGUAGUGCGACCGCUACAUAGAAGACUUUCUCUAGCAUUAGAGUCCUCGUCCUCCUUUCAAUAAUGUGUGUUAUUUUUGUGUUUGGGUAUUGUGAGUAUUCUGGUCAUAGCGGUGUGCGACAAAUUCAAUAAAGGCUCAAGUUUUUCUUCAUAGUGUUUAAUUUUUGUCUAUUUCUGACGGGCUUUCACGUCGAUUAUGACUUUAAUUGUUCUGUCAACUUAGUUGCUUUGAUUUGUUGGUUUUGGGGUUUUAUUUAUUGUUUUCUUUUUAUAUUUUUAUUGUCCAGGACUGUGCUUAAAAUUUCUCUCCAAAAUUAUUUACUGUCAUAAUCAAGUUCUACUUCAACGAAAUACCUACGGAUUUUUUUUCUUUAAAACAAAUAUAUAUGAUUUAGAUAUAACUCAUAAAUAUGUUUUCCCCAGUGAACUGUUUACAACACACAAACAAAAAAAAAAAAAUACUUUUCCUUUUUUUAAAAUUGUUUGUUAAGUUCAUUUGAGUUUAAAAAGCAUUAAGAAUGGCUUCAUUUCGCUGUUGCAGAUUGUUUAUAAACUUUGUAAUUGUUUCAUGUCAAAAUUAAAUUUCAAGAGUAUUAGCUUUUGUUUUUUUUUGUUUUUAAAAUAAGUUUGCAAACUUACAAUAAUAUAUAAAAAAGAGUAUAUAGAGAAAUCCAUAUCUAGUUUCUUGAAUAAAGUAGAACUUGAACAAUGCAAAAAUAAUAUACACAAAUAAUGGCAAAUAUAUACAACAUCAGCUAUUGUCACGUAAGUUACGGGAUUCUUUUUGAAAAUCUUUUUUAAAAAAACUAGCGAAAAACGUAUAAAUUUUUUUUUUCUAAACACCUUUAAAGGCACCUCGAGAAUUCGUCAAGAUCUAUCAUAUGGAUAAGGGUCCCUAAGCGAAUGAAUAGAAUCUCUCUUAUACAUGCAUGACAUUGAACAUUUAUAAUCAUAAUUAGAAAUCAACUAAACCAAUAACUAAAUCCACAGUUAGCAGUCAUUAAUAAACAAUAAGUAACAAACUAAACUAAGUCACGUGGAUCUGAAACAUAAAGCCAAUCUGAAUAAACUGAAACACAUGGUAACCAAUCUGAAACAAUAUAAAACCAAUCAAAAAUGAGUAGAGUAAAAAUAAAAUAAAAAAUUAAGCUUAUAAAGAAUUUUCUUGAGUUAAAAGUUAAAACUGAUAAAAAAAUAAUAUUCUUAAUUUUAAAAUUCUUUGAAUAGAUAAAAUAUUAUAUUAACUUAUAUUCUAUAAAAACCAAUUAAACUCAAAACGUGUAUCUUGGGUAAAUGGAAUUGAUUUAUGAUGUAAACCAACUGGUCAAACGAAGAAGAUAAAACUUCGCAAUCUCUCAUUAAAACCUUAUUUCCAUUAUUAAAAAUAAAUAAUGAUCUUGUUGCAUAUGAUGGCCAUAAAUAUUUUAAAUGAAUAUUUUAAUCAAUCUUUAAUUAUCUCUCUUAGCAUAUAUUUUACACAAGUUGGAGUUUGGAGUUAGUAAAACAUGUGUCCAGAGAGACUCUUCUCUUUCCCCACUCAAGAUCUUAAUUUAUUAUGUAUGUUUUCGAAAAAUAUGCUUUGAUCAGAUUCUAUAUUUCAUGAACCACGACAAACGUAACCAAGUAAUUAAAUAGAAAAAGACAUAUUCAUCUUCAACAAAAGAUAUUCUAUUCAGACAUAUAAACAUUAGAACAAAAUAUGUUUUAGACGAUACUUUUUAAACGCUCAAUUCUAGCAUUGUUAAUAUUUGGCAUGCGCCGACACUAUAAUUAAGUAAUAUUUUUAUCAGAUACUGAUAAAAAUUCUCCGACGCUAUAUUAAAGCGUUGGUGUAUUUAUUCCGACAUAUUUACUUAACGAUUCUUUGCUCGACGCUUUUACAAGCGUCAGGAUUAUUCUUACCGAUGCUUUAAUGUAGUAUCCCUGGUGUUUGGUUAUUCGUGGAUUUCAGCAUUUGAGGCUUGUCGACACAUCUGGAGAGUGUCCGGACAAGUCGGAGUCGUUUUGGCGUGAAAUGGACGCAAAAUGGACUCAGUGCGACGCGGGAGUAGAGUUUGAUAUUGAAAUCUGCAAAGUGCGAGUUUCAGUAUUAAGUACCGGUACCAUGCAGGGGAGUACCGGUACCCAGUGUAUUUUUCGAACAGCUGCUCUCGGGUUGCGAUAAUUGAUGCUGAGUACCGGUACGGCAUCGGGCUGGUGUACUCUAGCUGGGAUGUUGAGUUGGUGAGGGGUAGAACGGUCUUUUUGUUGGUGGUUAUCCACACCACCAAAUCUCUCGUAUUUAUCCACCAGAGAGAUUAAUUAUCCUUCUCCUCUCUUUCUCUAACUUUGGUUAUAUGCUUGGUGGAGACCACAGCUUGAGCUCGGAUCGACGUCGACGUUGCGCCGGGGAGCUGAUCGAGCGCGUGGACGUCGCGGUUGCGCCGUUAGAGGCCGGACGAGCGCGUAUUUUCCCUUCUUUUGACUUCUCACCGUAGUUGGACUAGUUUUUUGAGGUGGGUUGAAGUUUACAGAAAUCGCCGGAAUACCUCCUAUGUUUUUUAUACCGUCGACAUGUAUCAUUUGUGUAUUUUUCUUACUAGUACUCGAAUUCAUGGAUUAGUGUUUAAAUCUGAAUUUGGCGUUAAGCUAGUAGUUUAAUAUUACAUGUUAGACUUGGAAUUGACUUAGGAGAAAACAUAUAGAUCCUACAUUGUCACUUUCUGAAAAUUACCAGAUUUAGUUUUAGAAGCUAUGGUUUAUUUGUAUCGUCGUUGUUAGUAUGCGAUGGAUACCCAGAUUAGGAUAGGAUGAGUUUACGCUCGUACUGGGAUGCCGAGUUUAUUUUUACAGUAGUGUGUAGACUGUUUCAGACUGUCGGGUGCCGGCGCGGUUGACAGUGGACCCAAAUUUCUAUAUUUACAUCAAAUUGUGCCAAGGGCACGUGAGUUUUGGUUGUUAGACCAGUUAGACCCAGUUGUUUUGAUUAUAGUCCGUGAGAGCCUGAUUGAGCUCGUUAGAGACAUACUUUCAUACUCGGUUGGGUAGCGCCCACGAGUGCCAUUCCGGAGUCGGGCUUAAUGCGUUUGAGUUGAUGUCGUAGUGUCCUGAUUGGACUUGGUCUCCACCAACAAUCCAGCGUGGUGGUGGUUGGUAUAGUUUUGACAGAUGGGACGGUUGUGUUCACAGUCCCUAAUGAGAUUGGGUCAGAGAUUGCAUCUUGCUUAUAUCUACAGAUAACUAAUGUUGGUUAGCGACAGUAUAGUGGCAUGUAGCCGUAGAGUUUUUUCAGCUUUCUUUACUAUUCUUGAGCAUACUUUCUGUAGAUUGUGGGUGAGCCGUUGAGGUCGGCAGUGGUACCCACUGAGCACUACUUUUUUUUGGAGUAGUUCUCACACCCAGUUGUUGACCCCUUUUUGCAGAGCCUUCGUUCGCGGAUGCUGCUGUUCCUGAUUUGGAUCGUGGAAAGGGAGUCGCAAGCUAAAUCCCUUCUAGUCUUGUUGCUGUUCUAGAGGAGUACCAGCUAUAGAUAGUUUUAAUUUUUAGUUCAUGUAGAUACUGAUGUUAGUUAGUCGCUGGAGCGAGUGAUGUCUGUAUCUUGGAGAUUAUGUAUGUAUAGUGAACCUGAUAUUUAUUUAUAUAUGUGUACAGUUCUGUUAGCAGCUCUAUACUACUAGUUGUAGUUUUGUAUGAUUACAGGUAUAGGUACAGCUAUCGCUUUAUAAACAGAGAAAAUUUUUUUGUAUACGGCGGGUCUAUUGGCGUGCCCGAAAAAAUGUGGUAAUCCGGGAUGUGACAUUUAAAGCAUCGCUAAUUAUUGUUUAAACUGCCCUUAAGUGCAAGAUUUGUUGUAGUGAAAUAUUUUAUGUAGUAUAUUUUUCUUAUUUUAUUUACGGAGUUUAUAAUAUUUAGUAAAUAAGGAAUUUAAUUAAAUGUCUAAAUUGAAAUAUCAUACUUACCCGUCAAAGUUUUUUUUUGAGAAAAAGAAAAUUUUAUAUGUGAAUAUAUUAUCUAACCAAAUAAUGAAUAACACGGCCUUUUUGAAAAUAAAUAUCAGUCUCUCAAAUAAUUCCAAUCAUGAAAGAAAAUGCACAAAUCGAAGGAGUUAUUACUGGAUAAUUUAUUAUAAUUUGAGAAAUAAGCCUAAGCCUUCUUUGGAUGUCCGAAUAAAUUAUUUAGUGAUAACUUACACUACAACAGAAUUAGAUUAUAGAGACACAUUUUUUAGACACUUUUAUAUAAGUGUCCCAUUUAUACUAAAACUUUUAAAAAAGUCAACUAAGGCCUAACUAUAAAGUCCAAUCCAACAAAAAAUAAAAAAGUUACUCUGCUCAACCCAUCCCACCUAGCCCAUUUGGCCUAAUUAUAAAAUAGAAAAGAAAAAGAAAAAAAAAAUCGAUCACCAUCUCCCCUUCUCUCCUCACUCAAUUCACUGAAAUCUUAAACGAAGACCCUUCGCUCUCCUCCUCCUCUGCCACCGCAGCCAACGAGGUAGAGUUCCAGCUGUUGCUAAAUACUUAAAUAAGUGUUCGUAAAUUAGCAGCAUUCUUUUUAGAUUAUACCAACACUCUUAAACUAUCACUGUAUACCUAUCAUCUCCACAUAUAACAAUAUUUUUUAAAGUGUCGGUAAUUUAGCCGGCAGCAAUUUUUUUUAUCUAUACCGACAUUUAAAAGUGUCGCUAUACAUCGUUUUUAUUGUAGUGUUAUUUGGAAUUAGAAUUUUCUUGUGUGAUUGAAGAUGUUCGAUUUUUGCUAUUUAACUGUUUUGACAUUUGUAAUUUGAUAAUAUAACAUAUUUCAUCUAUAAAGUAACUUAUCUUAUUCUGAAAAAAUGACUAAAAUGCUAGAUAUAUUCACUACAACAGAAUUAGGUUAUAGGGACACAUGUUUGGGACACUUUUGAAUAAGUGUCCCAUUUAUGCUAAAACUUAAAAACACAUCUACUAAUGCCUAAAUAUAAAGCCUAAUCCAACCAAAAAUAAAAGAUUACUCUACACAACCCACCACACCCACUUCAUUUGGCCCGAUUACAAACAGAAAAGAAAAAAAAUAGAAAAAUCAAUUACCAUCUUUUCUUCUCUUUUCACUCAAUCCACUGAAAUUCUAGAUGAAGAGCCUUUACUGUCGUCCUCCUCCGCCACCGCAGCCAACGAGAUAGAGUUUCGACGGUUGUUAAAUGCUUAAAUAAGUGUUGGUAAAUUAGCAGCACUCUUUUAGGUUAUAGCGACACUCUUUAACUGUCACUAUAUACCUAGCGACCCCACAUAUAGCAACACUUUUUAAAAGUGUCGGUAAUUUUAACUAGCAGCAUUUUUUUAACAUGUACCUACAUUUAAAAGUGUCGCUAUAGACCGUUUUUGUUGUAGUGUAUGAUAUUCCAUUUUAUA
rnacentral:lncRNA from 1 species